AUCAGAUCGCAGAGCUCCUGCAGACAGCCACACACGAAGAAGAAGGAGAAAAGGAAGAAGAAGAGGCGACCCGGCGGCCACACUAUUCAUUCAUAACCCCAUCCUUUAACUGAGGACUAAGACAUUCAACCGGAUGCCUCUAUGAUCCAGCUAACCCUACAGCGAGAUAUACAGUGUUCAGUUUUCACAAGAGGUGAGCCAUGGCUGAACCGACUGCCCCCCGCCCCCAGAGGAAGAUGUCCACCGCUGGGGAGAGUGUAUACAAAGUGCUCGGGCUGGAGAAAGGAGCCACAGCUGAAGACAUAAAGAAAGCAUACAGGAAACUAGCUCUGAAGUACCACCCGGAUAAAAACCCCGACAACCCGGACGCAGCGGAGAAGUUUAAGGAGAUCAACAACGCCAACUCGAUCCUGAACGAUGAGACGAAGAGGAAGAUCUACAACGAGUACGGCUCCAUGGGCCUGUACGUGUCCGAGCAGUUCGGAGAGGAGAGCGUCAAAUAUUACUUCCUCAUGUCCAAAUGGUGGUUCAAGGGUAUGGUUAUGUGCUGCACGAUGUUCUCCUGCUGCUGCUGUUGCUGCUGCUGCUGUUUCUGCUGCGGGAAAUGUAAACCGCCCGACGACGAAGAAAGCUACCAGUACGUCAACCCCGAAGACCUGGAGGCUCAGAUCAAGGCGGAGCAGGACGGAGGUUACACAGUAAUCAUAAGCCAGCCUAAAUCGAACCUGGAUCCAGAAAGUGCAGAGGGCCAGAGUCAGCCCAUCCCUCUGCCGAUGCCCAUGCCUCCCCCCGAGUCCCAAACCUCACCCAGUGCAGCGGGGGAGGAAAACCCCGGAGAGACCCUCCCAGAGUCCAAAUGACUCGUAAGAGCCGCCUCGUCUAAUUUAAAGGAAAGUGACCGUGCUGAAGAGCCGCAACUAGCGGAAGCAGCCUUUGGACCCCCCGCCUAUGAUCCACAUCCGAUCCACCAUCCAGACCCUCACCUCCAUCCUGACCUCUCCACCAGCCUGAUCCACCCACCAGACAACACCCGUAAGGUGGGCACUUAAAGCCUCUCGGCCCCCUCCAUAGAACUCAAGUUAUGGAGGAGUAUCCGUGCAAAUUAAACUUCUGCAUGUGCUCUGAAAAUCUCUUAAGUCCCGUUUCCACUUCCAGCCUCUCACCUGGCUCAGAUGUGAUUUUUUCGCCAACAUUUUGAAUCAUCCUGGGCUCGGCUUGGCAAACAUUCCUGGUACUAAUCCGUUCUUAACCUCCCAUUACAACCACUAAGGAUGUGACACUGGGCUUAAAGAUGGCACCGACAGAGGGCUAGAAACAUCAAGGAAAGAGGAUCCUCAUCAUUUAUCCGCUCUCAACAUCGGGACUGAUUUAAACGUCUCCUACGUCACCCUCCAUUUCGGACGUUUGGAGCCUUUCCUUUUUACAUUUCGUCCCCUUUAACUUGUCUUGGAGUUUUCCUCCAAAAAAGAAAAACUAGCAGAGUUUUUGGGGAUGUGGAAUUGGAUGCUAUUUGUGACGUUUACAUCAGAAGCCAGCAGCACGACGACGUGGGUGUGGAGGAUUUCCUUUUUAUUUCCUCUCCAUCUUCCUUAAGUCGAACAAUUGCAUUCAGUUAAUUGUUGCAUUAACACCUUUCAAACAAGCUCUUGAGAUGCCAAGUGCGUUGGUUCAGAAUAUCCUUUUUGAAGAAAACAUUUUGAAUCUGGAGGCGUCUACAUUUCUCAUGAACGUAGGAAACUGAGGAGGUGGGGGGGGACAGAAGACAUGUGACGCAGCAGCAGAGACUGCCUGACUUACUGCUGGAUUAAGAUUUUGAUGUUUUAAUGUCUGAGCCAAAACCUGGAGUUGGAGCUUUGCAGCAUGGAUCGGGAGUCGAGUCUUUCCUCCCCAACAUGCAUGCAUCUUUUCCCCCGAAUGCAUGCCAACCCAUUCUGUACAGCACUGGAAUACUACAGUCUACAAUCCAUCCCACAACAAUGAAGAACUAUCUACAUGCAGACGCUGGUUACUCACACACACAUGUGCACACAGACACACACACACGCACAGAUAAACCACACAUAAAUGUAGUACAGACAAAAACACACAUUGACACACACCACACCAAUAAUAAGAUAAUACACACACAGAUACAGACACACAUGCUCUCACCCACAGAUGAUACACACUCUCACACACCUAUUACACACAGAUAAACCACACGUACAUUUAGUACAUACACAGACAAAACCCACACACACACACACUCGUACCAGCCCGUAUGUCAUCGUGUGCCAUCCUUGGGUAAAAAAAAAAAACAACCCCGAGAUAAUCUACGGACUAAAUGGACAAUAACAGAAAACAUUUUAUUACUUAGUCAUGUGUUGUUAGGUCGUUGCGCUCCUUGCAGUCAGACUAUAUGUUAUAGACGCUCCAUGUAGUCAGCCAUCCCAUAAUAAUCUCUGGAAACGCCAUUUCCUCUGUAAGCCACAGUUCAGUUUGUCAAAGUUGUUUGCACAUUAUGCAUUUGGGGUCUAUGCACCUUGCAAAGCGGGUCUGUUAACAAUACACUUGGGUUUCUUUUAAUCUUUUAAA